rnacentral:rRNA from 1 species
UACGUAGGUGGCAAGCGUUGUCCGGAAUUAUUGGGCGUAAAGCGCGCGCAGGUGGUUCUUUAAGUCUGAUGUGAAAGCCCACGGCUCAACCGUGGAAGGUCAUUGGAAACUGGGGAACUUGAGUGCAGAAGAGGAAAGUGGAAUUCCAAGUGUAGCGGUGAAAUGCGUAGAUAUUUGGAGGAACACCAGUGGCGAAGGCGACUUUCUGGCCUGUAACUGACACUGAGGCGCGAAAGCGUGGGGAGCAAACAGG